GAAUUUAAAGGUCGAACAGACCUAAUAACUUCAGCUUCUGCACCGAAAAUUAACCUUAAUCCA
rnacentral:tRNA from 1 species